UACAGAGGGGGCAAGCGUUGUUCGGAAUUACUGGGCGUAAAGGGCGCGUAGGCGGCCGCCUAAGUCAGACGUGAAAUCCCUCGGCUCAACCGGGGAACUGCGUCUGAGACUGGGAGGCUUGAAUCCGGGAGAGGAAUGCAGAAUUCCAGGUGUAGCGGUGAAAUGCGUAGAUAUCUGGAGGAACACCGGUGGCGAAGGCGGCAUUCUGGACCGGCAUUGACGCUGAGGCGCGAAAGCCAGGGGAGCAAACGGG
rnacentral:rRNA from 1 species